rnacentral:lncRNA from 10 species
CCGGCCUCCAGGUGCACAGGCUCCAGAGCGCCCCGCAGGGGACUCCGGGAGGCGCCUCUGCCUCCGAUUCCCCUAGAGGGGACCGGCCAGUCCCAAGGUCCAACAGGAAGAAGGCAGAAAACCCCAUCCGAAAAGGCCGGAUUCUCAGAACUGGCAAUGUACCUCCAAGAUGGCCCCAACAACCCAUGUCUUCUUGUACUCAUGCCUGCUAUGCACCAAAUGCUUGUGUGUCUUCUCAUUGAAGCCCUAACCCCUAAUGUGGUGGAUUUGGAGGUAAUUGGGUUUGAGGAGGUCAUAAGGAUAGAGUCCCCAUGAUGGAAUUAGUUUCCUUGUAAGAGGCUGAAGAGGCCAGAGCUCACUCUCUCCACCAUGUGAGGACAAAAUGAGAAGGCGGCCAUCUGUACACCAGGAAGAGGUCCCUCACCAGAACCCAACCAUGCUGGCACCUUGAUCUCAAACUUCCAUGUUCCAAAGCUGGGAGCAAUAAAUUCCUGUUGUUUAAGCCA